rnacentral:rRNA from 1 species
ACUCCUACGGGAGGCAGCAGUGGGGAAUAUUGCACAAUGGGCGCAAGCCUGAACUGCAGCCAUGCCGCGUGUGUGAAGAAGGCCUUCGGGUUGUAAAGCACUUUCAGUCGUGAGGAAGGUAGUGUAGUUAAUAGCUGCUAUUAUUUGACGUUAGCGAACAGAAGAAGCACCGGCUAACUCCGUGCCAGCAGCCGCGGUAAUACGGAGGGUGCGAGCGUUAAUCGGAAUUACUGGGCGUAAAGCGCAUGCAGGUGGUUUGUUAAGUCAGAUGUGAAAGCCCGGGGCUCAACCUCGGAAUUGCAUUUGAAACUGGCAGACUAGAGUACUGUAGAGGGGGGUGAGAAUU